rnacentral:rRNA from 1 species
AUUGAACGCUGGCGGCAGGCCUAACACAUGCAAGUCGAACGGUAGCACAGAGAGCUUGCUCUCGGGUGACGAGUGGCGGACGGGUGAGUAAUGUCUGGGAAACUGCCCGAUGGAGGGGGAUAACUACUGGAAACGGUAGCUAAUACCGCAUAAUGUCGCAAGACCACAGAGGGGGACCUUCGGGCCUCUUGUCAUCGGAUGUGCCCAGAUGGGAUUAGCUAGUUGGUGAGGUAAUGGCUCACCAAGGCGACGAUCCCUAGCUGGUCUGAGAGGAUAACCAGCAACCCGGGAAGGGAACCAGGGCCAGGCCUAAGAGGGGAGGCGGAGGUGGGAAAUGUUGAAGAGGGGGAGAAGGGUGAAUGCAGCAAGGCGGAGUGUAGAAGGAGGGCAUUGGGGUGGAAAAGUACUUCGAGGGGGGAGGAAGGAAAUGGGGUAAAAAACGGGGUUGAUGGACGUUACCGGAAGAAAAAGCCCCGGCUAACUCCGUG